UAGAUUUUUGCACCAACAGGAUUGGUGCUAGAGGAAGGGGCUGUGUCUUCAUAGUACCCUUAUUCUUAAAGGAGCGCUCAACGGAACCGCCUCCGAUCAUCUUUUUCCGACGACCUCUCCUCCUUCCCCCGCUAGAUCUUCGCCCGAUGCCUCCCCGCAAGACAUCCGCACGAUGAUCCAUGGCCUCCGUAGCCAGAUCUCAGGCUCCGGCUUCACCUCCAGUUUCCCAUACUCCUCGUCCUCCGACAACGGCCGUCGGCGUGGAGCGGUCAGACAAUCGGCCUCCGACGGAUUUCGCCAAC
rnacentral:lncRNA from 1 species